ACGGAAGGCAGCAGUGGGGAAUAUUGCACAAUUGGCGGAAGCCUGAUGCAGCGAUGCCGCGUGGAGGAAGAAGGUUUUCGGAUUGUAAACUCCUUUUAUCAGGGACGAUAAUGACGGUACCUGAAGAAAAAGCUCCGGCUAACUACGUGCCAGCAGCCGCGGUAAUACGUAGGGAGCGAGCGUUGUCCGGAAUUACUGGGUGUAAAGGGUGCGUAGGCGGGGAUGCAAGUCAGAUGUGAAAUGUAUGGGCUCAACCCAUGAACUGCAUUUGAAACUGCAACUCUUGAGUGAGGGAGAGGUAAGCGGAAUUCCUAGUGUAGUGGUGAAAUGCGUAGAUAUUAGGAGGAACAUCGGUGGCGAAGGCGGCUUACUGGGCCUUUACUGACGCUGAGGCACGAAAGCGUGGGGAGCAAACAGGAUUAGAUACCCUGGUA
rnacentral:rRNA from 1 species